UUCAUUUUCUGCAUAUUCCUUCUCCUUUGAUGUCUCCUUUGCUUUGCUGCUGCUAUUCUCCCCCUUAUCCCUACUUUAUUUUUCUUCUUUUGCAUUGCUUAGCUGAUCAUCUUGUGUUUUUGUAGGACUGCUACCUUCUUCUUAUGUACUGAUGCCUGAUAUUCCUCAGUAAGAACUUGGAAGUUGUUCUUGGUCUGGUCCAAUUUGAUGUAGCCAAGUCUACCACCAGAGGUUUUCCAACCACAAAAGCAAGUGAAAACACAGCAUCCUUUGCAAUGAAAUUGGGUGGAAGAUCAAGAAAGCUUAUCCAAGCUACUGCAAUAGAUGUCUCUUCAGAUGGUAUAAACCAUGGAUUCCAUAUCAAAGGCCUCAUCUGACAGAAUUUUGAGUGUACCUUAAUAUAAUAUGUUGGUUUAGCUAGAACUUUGAUGUAAUCUUCCAAUAAGUCUAGUCUAAUUAGCACAUGCCUCUCAUCCAUCAGACCAACUGUACAUGGACCUUUUACUGAACAUUGAUCUGGUAUUGCUGUUCUUA